UACAGAAGUUGGUGAUAACUCCCAAGUAACACAACAGGAGAAAUCAGAGGAGAAACAUGAGGAGUACUUAUUUGCUGGUUUGUCUUUCCUCCUUUUUUUCAGCAGCCACUCCUUCACAAAUCAUGUACCUCUAAAAAAGGACCCUGAUAAAGAGCACCUCCCUCCACCUUGUAAUCUGAAAGGUCUGCAUACCUAGCAGACAACACUGGAGAUGUGCUUGGCUGCUACAGCACAGAUUCUUGUGCCCCUCCACCUCCCACCAGCACUGAGCAAUGCUACCAGUGACAGGAAACGCACUUGGCCUUCCAGACAAGUCAGAAGAAAUCAGUGAAGGAUCAAUCUACGCAAAGAUUUACAGAAUAAAGGUGUGAUGAGAACAGACAAGUUGAAGAUACCGGAAGAGUCCACAGGUGAAGGAACAGAGCUGGACUGCAUUCCAGAUACUCUCACCAGGAGCUGGGCUGCCUAUCAAGGUUUGAGAUUCCUUACCUGAUACUGAGAUCCGUCCUUGCUCAAGGAUUGGAGAGACCCCCAAUAAGAACACUUGCUAACAGCAUGGUAAAUUAAUGGUAAUGAACUCCAUGUAGCUAAUCUCUUUAGACAUAAACCACUGAUCAAUCAGUCUAUGAUUGGACCUAGACACACCUAGGUUCCAUAAGUUCAAAAAGCAAGGAAGUCCACUCUAAACCUUAUGAGUCAGUGGAAGGGUCUCCCUUAUCCCUUAGAAUCUUCAAUCUCUCUGUAAAUAUUUUUAAAUACAUUCCAAUUUGAUUUUUCUUUGCAUGUUUCAUUCACGUAGCAAGCAAUAAAGUGAACCUUGCCAUUAAAAUUUGUUGCAGUGCAUUUCUGUAUAUUCUGUAUAUUUCUGUAUAUGGUAUUAAUUCUAGAAAUCCAAUGAUAUUAAAACCAAUUUUGUUAAUCAUUUUGAUGGUAAUUAUUUAAGCAACCUUAAAUUGUUCAUUUGUGAUGUAAAGGAAACAACAGUGAAGAUAACAUGUGUGAACUGAAACAGAGUUCAAGAGAAGCUGAAAGUGCUUGUGAGUUCUUGGAUAGGCAAUGUAGCCAGGAAGCCUCACAUUGUCCUGAAUGCUGCAACAAAAAUACAAUAUUAUGAAGUUAAAGUUUCUUUUUCUUUUUUUGGUAAACUUUAAUUUGCACCUACAGUUUUCAGGCGAGAUUUAUCCCAAAGCCUUUUAGCUGUGAUUUAAAGCCUUUUUUUCUUUUUAUUGUUUUAUUUCUUUCCCAGUUUUCAGAAUAGAUUUCUAGUUCUGUUAACUUUUUGACUUUAUUUAUUUUAUUUUUUUUUUUUAGUAUUUAGUCAUUAUUUUCUUUUCCUCCCCCUCCACACAUUAAAGAUGAAUAUAUUUAAGGACUCUUCAGUCAUACAGAAAGUCAGUCCACUGUGGCAAGUUGUGUUUCAUUUCAAUCUAUUAUAUUUUUCAUCUAAAAGUAUGAACCUUUCACAUCUCCAGUUUCCCAUUUUCUCAUUUCACUAUGUGAAAUGUAUUUCCACCUGCUGGACACAGGGCACUGCCAGCAUCUCAGAGUCUGACCUCUUUCUGGAUCAAACAACAAGAGGGUUGUUUAAGUCGGCAAAACAAGAAGAAAAAGGAAAAACUUCAUUUCUGGAUCUAUUUAGGAGGCCAGACAUUUAACACAUAUUUAGUAAACAAUAAAAAAAUGGUUUAUAACAAAUAGAUCUGUAAGUACUGACUUCCACAUGAAGCUCAAAACUAUGUUUUUUAAACUGCUAGAGUUAUUAUGAGUAUUAGAGAUGGAUGACCUGUACUUUUCUCUGUGCUUUUCUUCAUAGUUCAUCUCUGCUGGAUUCCUCUUCUUGUGAUGAAAUCAUAAUGUUUUACAAUGACAAGCCAGUGUAAUUAUCAUGUUAUGAAAACAAACCAUAGUAAAAAGUGAAAUGGGCAAAGAGAAGAAAAUACUCUGUAUACUUGACUGCUGUCAAAUUAAAAUGAUGUUGUACAAGACUUUCCCAGUAUGUCAAUGAUCUUCCUUAAAUAAAUGCGCUCAUUUUACCUUCUCUUGUAAAUCAGAAAUACUAUUAUGCUUUAAUUUACUGGCUCCUGAGAAACCUUAAAAAUCUUAAAUUGAGAUAAAUUCUUAUUCUGCUGCAUCCACUGUAUAUUUUGUUUAUCAACAAAUAAUGACACAAAAUCCUUUUG